UGAAAGCGUACUGUGGAAGGGAGUGUCUGGUCUCAAAAGCAUGGCUCUUCCUAGUUGCUAAUUUAAUUGGAGCCCCCCCCUUUUUUUUUCUUCUAGACCAUUCCUUCAGAAGAUGAAUAAGUGUCUGCUGCCAGUGCUGUCCUUGCUUAGCUUGGGAAGCCCUUUGGAGAUGGGCAUGAAAGGAUGUCCUGGAUAUCAGAAAUCUUCACUGGUGUCCCAGCCUUCUAAGGGAAGUGGAGAAAAUGCACAUCCAAGCAAUACCCAAUUUGGAAUUUCCAGGAUACCACUAUUGCUGUAGGAUUGAAUGGUGGCUGAACCAUAUAGAACUGAAAAGCUGGGCAACAUGGUGGUGUCACCUUGAUCCCAAACAGUUUCAGAGUUCUCAUCCCUGGCUAGGAGGCUGAGUGUGGUCCUAUCACUCUUUUGUUCUUUAGUGCUACAUGGCUUACUAUUGCCUUUAGAAUAAAGUUCCCAUUUUGCAGGAUGGCAUCAGGGCCCAUUUAUAUGUGAAUUAUUUUCUAGUACGUAUCCAGGCGUGUGUG
rnacentral:lncRNA from 1 species